GCAGUCUGCGCAGGGACUGGCGGGACUGCGCGGAGGCGACUGCAGACGUAUCGGGGGUCCGGAGCCUGUCGCGGCUGCUAAGCGCUCGGCGCCUGGCGCUGGCGCUGGCCAAGGCUUGUUGCAAACAGGAACCCGAGGUGUUCACUUCACUGUUGAAGGAACGAGAGGGCAUCUGCUAAAGUUUCAGAUUCCAUUUCUGCUCAGUAUCCAGUAGUGGAUCAUGAAUUUGAUGCAGUGGUGGUAGGCGCUGGAGGGGCAGGCUUUGCGAGCUGCAUUUGGCCUUUCCGAGGCAGAGUUUGAUACAGCAUGUGUUACCAAGCUGUUUCCUACCAGGUCACACACUGUUGCAGCGCAGGUUGGAAUCAAUGCUGCUCUGGGGAACAUGGAGGAGGACAACUGGAGGUGGCAUUUCUAUGACACCGUGAAGGGCUCCGACUGGCUGGGGGACCAGGAUGCCAUCCACUACGUGACGGAGCAGGCCCCCACUGCCAUGGUCGAGCUAGAAAAUUAUGGCAUGCCGUUUAGCAGAACUGAAGAUGGGAAGAUUUAUCAGCGUGCAUUUGGUGGACAGAGCCUCAAGUUUGGAAAGGGCAGGCAGGCCCAUCGGUGCUGCUGUGUGGCUGAUCGGACCGGCCACUCAAUAUUGCACACCUCAUAUGGGAGGUCUCUGAGAUAUGAUACCAGCUGUUUUGUGGAGUAUUUUGCCUUGGAUCUCCUGAUAGAGAACAGGGAGUGCCGUGGUGUCAUUGCACUGUGCAUAGAGGACGGGUCCAUCCAUCACAUAAGAGCAAAGAACACUGUUGUUGCCACAGGAGUCAAGAAACUUUUCUUUUGAGCUAUUGACAGCUUUUAACAAGUUAUUAUACUCCUAUGAACAAAAUUUGGAGCAUAUUUGUUUCUCUCUGCCUGAUUUCUCCUGAAUUUGGAAACUAUUUGACAUGAGGAUUCUCAACCUGAUAAAAAUGAGCUUUCCUAAUAACUCAAGACCCAUCUGCCUAGGAAUAAACCAUCCCAGCUGUGAGAGACCAGACGAAACCUGAGACCAGAGACUCGUUUUCUUCUAAAAUGCUUUCUCCAAAAGAUUUUUAAACAGAAAAAGGGGGAAAUGUGAAAGGAAAAGAAAACUUGAGGCCCCCAAAAUCACUAAGCUAAAAGGAAAAGUCAAGCUGGGAAUGGCUUAGGGCAAACCUGCCUCCCAUUCUAUGCAAAGUCAUCCCUCCGUGCACUGAGAUAAAUGCUUAUCUAAUUGCCUCCUUUGGAGAGGCUCAUCAGAAACUCAAAAUAAUGCAACCAUUUGACUCUCACCUACCUGUGACCUGGAAGAUCCCUCUCUGCUUGAGUUGUCCUGCUUUUCUGGAUGGAACCAAUGUUCAUCUUACAUAUAUUGAUUGAUGUCUCAUGUCUCCCUAAAAUGUAUAAAACCAAGCUGUGCCCUGACCACCUUGGGCACAUGUCGUCAGGACCUCCUGAGGCUGUGCCACAGGCAUGCAGCCUCAACCUUGGCAAAAUAAACUUUCUAAAUUGACUGAGA
ensembl:lncRNA SDHAP4 SDHA pseudogene 4